rnacentral:misc_RNA from 1 species
GAAAUGCGAUACGUAAUGUGAAUUGCAGAAUUCCGUGAAUCAUCAAAUCUUUGAACGCAUAUUGCACUCUAUUUCGGUAGAGUAUGCCUGUUUGAGAAUCUAUAGUAUUUAUUCUACCUAGGUUGUGCUUUCGGGCAUAACUUAUGGCAGAGAUUUGAGGCUUCUCUAACAAGAGUGCCUUUAAAUAUAUAGCUUGUUGGACGAGUAAGGUGUUGACUCUUUACUUUAUCAGCAGAAACGUAUUCGAAUGGGCCGAAAGGUUCUCCUUGUACUUAAUACGCUGAUGUUUAGAUGAGCCUUGUGAGUCUGGCCAGUCCAUAACCUAAAAGGUGCAGAGUAGUAAUACAAAGCGCCUUGAACCAUGGUCUCAAAUCAGGUAGGAUUACCCGCUGAACUUAA